UUGUCUUUUUAUAUAUAAGAUCGGUUAGCAUCGUUUUCUUCGUUUGUUAGAAGCUAUAGCAGAGAGUGCUUUGCUUAUAUCAGUUGCAGAGACUCUGAUGAUGUCUCAAAAGCCUUUGCACCAGCUCCUGCAAGAGGAUCAAGAACCAUUCUUGCUCAAGAACUACAUUGCUGACAAACGUUGCCAGCUCAAGAAACCCUCUCCAAAAACUCACUUGCAAAUCAAGAAACGAAAGCCCAUUUCGGAUACCGCGUACUUCCCUCACAAUUUCUGCAAGAAUGCUUGCUUUUUAUCUGUUAACAACUCCCCAGACCUCAGAAAGUCACCUCUCUUUGAGUUUCAAUCUCCUUCCAAAAGCCCCUGCAAAAGCCCAAAUGCCAUCUUCCUCCAUAUCCCUACUAAAACCGCAGCUCUUCUUCUUGAAGCUGCCCUCAGGAUCCAAAAACAGUCAUUAUCACCAUUAUCUCCAAAAGCCAAAAACAACAAUGGGUUUGGUUUAUUUGGGUCCUUAAUAAAGAGAAUAACUCAUCGUAAUAAAACCCGAACGCGAGAAAUCACUAGCGAUGGGGUUAAAGCUUCGGUUAAGGACAUUCGAAGGUGGGGCUCCUCUCUUAGCCGUAGAAAACUAUCCAAUGAAAG
rnacentral:misc_RNA from 1 species